GGUAAUUCCAGCUCUGAUAGCGUAUAUUAAAGUUGUUGCAGUUAAAAAAGCUCGUAGUUGGAUUUUAGAGUGUAUUGAUACGGUCUCUUGUGAUAAACUUGUUGUACUGUAUUAAUUACUCUUUCCUACUGGUUACUCGACUCUGUUCAUGGAGUAGUGUCGCAAGGCAUCGCUUAGUAUUUUAUUGCUUUUAGAUGUAGUAAUUGGGUAAAACUGGUUGCGAAACCUAAGGGAUCACAGUAAAGUAUUAAGUGGGGUUCCAGUUCAUUUACUUUGAGUAAAUUAAGAGUGUUCAAAGCAGCCUGUAUGGGCAUUGAAUAGAUUAGCAUGGGAUAAUAGAAUAGGAUUCUUGUCUAUUUAUUGGUUUAUAGGUUUAGAAUAAUGAUUAAUAGGGAUAGUUGGGGG
rnacentral:rRNA from 1 species